UGGAAACAAACUGAGUUUGAGAAGCCUGAGUAUCCAGUUUACCCUUCAAAGAUGAAGGACACCCCACUGGUGGAUCCCUAGGGAAGAGUCUGCUGUCCUCAGCACCUGCCCCUUUGCGGUCUCCCUACCAUUGGAGAAGACGUCCCCUAACCUGGGCGUCUCAAGCCAGCCGCCACAUCGUCAAAACGGUCUCACAAGAAAUGGGAAACAGCCAGCCGGAACGUCUGUCUCCAAAUCAGAGGAACCACCGACUUGGCUCCAUACUAAAUCCCCCAACCGGGAGCAUCCGCGAGCAUCCAU